UACGGAGGUUGCAAGCGUUAAUCGGAAUUACUGGGCGUAAAGCGCGCGUCGGUGGCUUGAUAAGCCGGUUGUGAAAGCCCCGGGCUCGACCUGGGAACGGCAUCCGGAACUGUCAAGAUAGCGUACAGGAGAGGAAGGUAGAAUUCCCGGUGUAGCGGUGAAAUGCGUAGAGAUAGGGAGGAAUACCAGUGGCGAAGGCGGCCUUCUGGACUGACACUGACGCUGAGGUGCGAAAGCGUGGGUAGCAAACAGG
rnacentral:misc_RNA from 1 species